UGUGUAAAGGCUGGGUUUUCCACCAGUGUGUGAGCUGUGUCUUCGUCAAACCUCAUUUCGAUAUUGACACAUUACCUGUCUGAU
rnacentral:snoRNA from 1 species